rnacentral:rRNA from 1 species
GUACACAAAAAUGCACAUAUUGUGAGCUCGAUGAGUAGGGCGGGACACGUGGUAUCCUGUCUGAAUAUGGGGGGACCAUCCUCCAAGGCUAAAUACUCCUGACUGACCGAUAGUGAACCAGUACCGUGAGGGAAAGGCGAAAAGAACCCCGGCGAGGGGAGUGAAAAAGAACCUGAAACCGUGUACGUACAAGCAGUGGGAGCCUCUUUAUGGGGUGACUGCGUACCUUUUGUAUAAUGGGUCAGCGACUUAUAUUCUGUAGCAAGGUUAACCGAAUAGGGGAGCCGAAGGGAAACCGAGUCUUAACUGGGCGUUAAGUUGCAGGGUAUAGACCCGAAACCCGGUGAUCUAGCCAUGGGCAGGUUGAAGGUUGGGUAACACUAACUGGAGGACCGAACCGACUAAUGUUGAAAAAUUAGCGGAUGACUUGUGGCUGGGGGUGAAAGGCCAAUCAAACCGGGAGAUAGCUGGUUCUCCCCGAAAGCUAUUUAGGUAGCGCCUCGUGAAUUCAUCUCCGGGGGUAGAGCACUGUUUCGGCAAGGGGGUCAUCCCGACUUACCAACCCGAUGCAAACUGCGAAUACCGGAGAAUGUUAUCACGGGAGACACACGGCGGGUGCUAACGUCCGUCGUGAAGAGGGAAACAACCCAGACCGCCAGCUAAGGUCCCAAAGUCAUGGUUAAGUGGGAAACGAUGUGGGAAGGCCCAGACAGCCAGGAUGUUGGCUUAGAAGCAGCCAUCAUUUAAAGAAAGCGUAAUAGCUCACUGGUCGAGUCGGCCUGCGCGGAAGAUGUAACGGGGCUAAACCAUGCACCGAAGCUGCGGCAGCGACACUAUGUGUUGUUGGGUAGGGGAGCGUUCUGUAAGCCUGUGAAGGUGGCCUGUGAGGGUUGCUGGAGGUAUCAGAAGUGCGAAUGCUGACAUAAGUAACGAUAAAGCGGGUGAAAAGCCCGCUCGCCGGAAGACCAAGGGUUCCUGUCCAACGUUAAUCGGGGCAGGGUGAGUCGACCCCUAAGGCGAGGCCGAAAGGCGUAGUCGAUGGGAAACAGGUUAAUAUUCCUGUACUUGGUGUUACUGCGAAGGGGGGACGGAGAAGGCUAUGUUGGCCGGGCGACGGUUGUCCCGGUUUAAGCGUGUAGGCUGGUUUUCCAGGCAAAUCCGGAAAACCAAGGCUGAGGCGUGAUGACGAGGCACUACGGUGCUGAAGCGACAAAUGCCCUGCUUCCAGGAAAAGCCUCUAAGCAUCAGGUAACAUCAAAUCGUACCCCAAACCGACACAGGUGGUCAGGUAGAGAAUACCAAGGCGCUUGAGAGAACUCGGGUGAAGGAACUAGGCAAAAUGGUGCCGUAACUUCGGGAGAAGGCACGCUGAUAUGUAGGUGAAGCGACUUGCUCGUGGAGCUGAAAUCAGUCGAAGAUACCAGCUGGCUGCAACUGUUUAUUAAAAACACAGCACUGUGCAAACACGAAAGUGGACGUAUACGGUGUGACGCCUGCCCGGUGCCGGAAGGUUAAUUGAUGGGGUUAGCGGUAACGCGAAGCUCUUGAUCGAAGCCCCGGUAAACGGCGGCCGUAACUAUAACGGUCCUAAGGUAGCGAAAUUCCUUGUCGGGUAAGUUCCGACCUGCACGAAUGGCGUAAUGAUGGCCAGGCUGUCUCCACCCGAGACUCAGUGAAAUUGAACUCGCUGUGAAGAUGCAGUGUACCCGCGGCAAGACGGAAAGACCCCGUGAACCUUUACUAUAGCUUGACACUGAACAUUGAGCCUUGAUGUGUAGGAUAGGUGGGAGGCUUUGAAGUGUGGACGCCAGUCUGCAUGGAGCCGACCUUGAAAUACCACCCUUUAAUGUUUGAUGUUCUAACGUUGGCCCGUAAUCCGGGUUGCGGACAGUGUCUGGUGGGUAGUUUGACUGGGGCGGUCUCCUCCUAAAGAGUAACGGAGGAGCACGAAGGUUGGCUAAUCCUGGUCGGACAUCAGGAGGUUAGUGCAAUGGCAUAAGCCAGCUUGACUGCGAGCGUGACGGCGCGAGCAGGUGCGAAAGCAGGUCAUAGUGAUCCGGUGGUUCUGAAUGGAAGGGCCAUCGCUCAACGGAUAAAAGGUACUCCGGGGAUAACAGGCUGAUACCGCCCAAGAGUUCAUAUCGACGGCGGUGUUUGGCACCUCGAUGUCGGCUCAUCACAUCCUGGGGCUGAAGUAGGUCCCAAGGGUAUGGCUGUUCGCCAUUUAAAGUGGUACGCGAGCUGGGUUUAGAACGUCGUGAGACAGUUCGGUCCCUAUCUGCCGUGGGCGCUGGAGAACUGAGGGGGGCUGCUCCUAGUACGAGAGGACCGGAGUGGACGCAUCACUGGUGUUCGGGUUGUCAUGCCAAUGGCACUGCCCGGUAGCUAAAUGCGGAAGAGAUAAGUGCUGAAAGCAUCUAAGCACGAAACUUGCCCCGAGAUGAGUUCUCCCUGACUCCUUGAGAGUCCUGAAGGAACGUUGAAGACGACGACGUUGAUAGGCCGGGUGUGUAAGCGCA